CCUACGGGUGGCAGCAGUGAGGAAUAUUGGUCAAUGGACGAGAGUCUGAACCAGCCAAGUAGCGUGAAGGAUGACUGCCCUAUGGGUUGUAAACUUCUUUUAUAUGGGAAUAAAAUGUUCCACGUGUGGGAUUUUGUAUGUACCAUAUGAAUAAGGAUCGGCUAACUCCGUGCCAGCAGCCGCGGUAAUACGGAGGAUCCGAGCGUUAUCCGGAUUUAUUGGGUUUAAAGGGAGCGUAGGUGGAUUGUUAAGUCAGUUGUGAAAGUUUGCGGCUCAACCGUAAAAUUGCAGUUGAAACGGGCAGUCUUGAGUACAGUAGAGGUGGGCGGAAUUCGUGGUGUAGCGGUGAAAUGCUUAGAUAUCACGAAGAACUCCGAUUGCGAAGGCAGUUCACUGGACUGCAAGUGACACUGAGGCUCGAAAGUGUGGGUAUCAAACAGGAUUAGAUACCCUUGAGUC
rnacentral:rRNA from 1 species